GAUGAACGCUGGCGGCGUGCCUAAUACAUGCAAGUCGAGCGAACAGACGAGGAGCUUGCUCCUCUGACGUUAGCGGCGGACGGGUGAGUAACACGUGGAUAACCUACCUAUAAGACUGGGAUAACUUCGGGAAACCGGAGCUAAUACCGGAUAAUAUAUUGAACCGCAUGGUUCAAUAGUGAAAGACGGUUUUGCUGUCACUUAUAGAUGGAUCCGCGCCGCAUUAGCUAGUUGGUAAGGUAACGGCUUACCAAGGCGACGAUGCGUAGCCGACCUGAGAGGGUGAUCGGCCACACUGGAACUGAGACACGGUCCAGACUCCUACGGGAGGCAGCAGUAGGGAAUCUUCCGCAAUGGGCGAAAGCCUGGCGGAGCAACGCCGCGUGAGUGAUGAAGGUCUUCGGAUCGUAAAACUCUGUUAUUAGGGAAGAAAAAAUGUGUAAGUAACUAUGCACGUCUUGACGGUACCUAAUCAGAAAGCCACGGCUAACUACGUG
rnacentral:rRNA from 1 species